GCGGGCGUAGUUCAGUGGUAGAACGUCAGCUUCCCAAGCUGAAUGUCGUCGGUUCGAGUCCGAUCGCCCGCU
rfam:Rubidibacter lacunae KORDI 51-2 KR51_contig00005, whole genome shotgun sequence.